GCCCAAGAGACUGGGAUAACACCUGGAAACAGAUGCUAAUACCGGAUAACAACACUAGACGCAUGUCUAGAGUUUAAAAGAUGGUUCUGCUAUCACUCUUGGAUGGACCUGCGGUGCAUUAGCUAGUUGGUGAGGUAACGGCUUACCAAGGCAAUGAUGCAUAGCCGAGUUGAGAGACUGAUCGGCCACAUUGGGACUGAGACACGGCCCAAACUCCUACGGAAGGCAGCAG
rnacentral:rRNA from 1 species